rnacentral:rRNA from 1 species
GGGUGUUUAACUGGCGUGAUGUGGGACGUCCUACCGGUGGGCUUAGCCUCGCGAGGGGCGGCCCAACUAAUAUCCCGUCGCGGUGCUCUUUACUGAGUGUCGAGUCGGGCCGGUACGUUUACUUUGAACAAAUUAGAGUGCUUAAAGCAGGCUAUCCUCGCCUGAAUACUGCGUGCAUGGAAUAAUGGAAUAGGACCUCGGUUCUAUUUUGUUGGUUUUCGGAACCCCGAGGUAAUGAUUAAUAGGGACAGAUGGGGGCAUUCUUAUUGCGACGUUAGAGGUGAAAUUCUUGGAUCGCCGCAAGACGGACAGAAGCGAAAGCAUUUGCCAAAAAUGUUUUCAUUAAUCAAGAACGAAAGUAAGAGGUUCGAAGGCGAUCAGAUACCGCCCUAGUUCUAACCAUAAACGAUGCCAGCUAGCGAUCCGCCGAAGUUCCUCCGAUGACUCGGCGGGCAGCUUCCGGGAAACCAAAGCUUUUGGGUUCCGGGGGAAGUAUGGUUGCAAAGCUGAAACUUAAAGGAAUUGACGGAAGGGCACCACCAGGAGUGGAGCCUGCGGCUUAAUUUGACUCAACACGGGAAACCUCACCAGGCCCAGACACCGGAAGGAUUGACAGAUUGAUAGCUCUUUCUUGAUUCGGUGGGUGGUGGUGCAUGGCCGUUCUUAGUUGGUGGAGCGAUUUGUCUGGUUAAUUCCGAUAACGAACGAGACUCUAGCCUGCUAAAUAGGCGUCCCUUAUGGUAUCGCGAAGGCCCCCGGCUUCGGCCGGUGGGUUUUUACUACCAACGUACAAACAAAUCUUCUUAGAGGGACAGGCGG